rnacentral:rRNA from 1 species
GGCGGAAUUCGUGGUGUAGCGGUGAAAUGCUUAGAUAUCACGAAGAACUCCGAUUGCGAAGGCAGCCUGCUGGACUGUAACUGACGCUGAUGCUCGAAAGUGUGGGUAUCAAACAGGAUUAGAUACCCUGGUAGUCCACACAGUAAACGAUGAAUACUCGCUGUUUGCGAUAUACAGUAAGCGGCCAAGCGAAAGCGUUAAGUAUUCCACCUGGGGAGUACGCCGGCAACGGUGAAACUCAAAGGAAUUGACGGGGGCCCGCACAAGCGGAGGAACAUGUGGUUUAAUUCGAUGAUACGCGAGGAACCUUACCCGGGCUUGAAUUGCAACUGAAUGAUGUGGAGACAUGUCAGCCGCAAGGCAGUUGUGAAGGUGCUGCAUGGUUGUCGUCAGCUCGUGCCGUGAGGUGUCGGCUUAAGUGCCAUAACGAGCGCAACCCUUAUCGAUAGUUACCAUCAGGUUAUGCUGGGGACUCUGUCGAGACUGCCGUCGUAAGAUGUGAGGAAGGUGGGGAUGACGUCAAAUCAGCACGGCCCUUACGUCCGGGGCUACACACGUGUUACAAUGGGGGGUACAGAAGGCAGCUACACGGCGACGUGAUGCUAAUCCCGAAAGCCUCUCUCAGUUCGGAUUGGAGUCUGCAACCCGACUCCAUGAAGCUGGAUUCGCUAGUAAUCGCGCAUCAGCCACGGCGCGGUGAAUACGUUCCCGGGCCUUGUACACACCGCCCGUCAAGCCAUGAAAGCCGGGGGUACCUGAAGUGCGUAACCGCGAGGAGCGCCCUAGGGUAAAACUGGUGAUUGGGGCUAAGUCGUAACAAGGUAGCCGUACCGGAAGGUGCGGCUG